GUUUUUCUUGUAGGUUGCAGUGGAAUUAGAAAAUGUAAAAUCAGAAUCAGAGCUGUUAAAAAAACAACUGUCAAGUGAGAGACAUACGAUUAAAAACCUUGAAUCAUUGUUGGCUACAAAUAGAGAUAAAGAAUUUCAUUCCCAUUUAACCUCCCACGAGAAGGAUACAGAAAUUCAGCUACUUAAAGAGAAGUUAACCCUUUCAGAAAGCAAAUUAAAUAGUCAAAGCCGGGAAAACACCAUGCUUCGGGCUAAAAUGGCACAAUUACAAACAGAUCUUGAUGUUCUGAAAAGGCAGAUUUCAACUGAAAGAUACGAACGAGAACGAGCAAUCCAAGAGAUGCGUCGGCACGGUCUUCGCACACCACCCCUUAGUUCUACUCUGAAGUCUCCUUUACAUUCUCCUGAACAUAAAAACUGAUUAUCAGAAAGAAUGGUGGCUUUCAUGAGUUGGCUAUACGGAUUUUUUUAAAGGACAGACAGUAAUGAAAUAUUUGAAGCACUUGUUCCUGAAAAUUAUGAACAUUGACACAAAUUCUACCUCUGUCAACUUUUAUUUAAAUCAGUGAAUAUUUAUGUAAAAAUUUGGUUUAAAAGAGCUAUAUCCAUGUGUAUAUUUUCAUAUAUAUGACAGAACAGAAUAUGUAUGGAUAGUGCUAAUGUUAUAUCUGUAUUUUUAUUAUUCCUGACUUAAAUUACUUCUCAAAGUGUGGUUAUACUGUGAAUUAAUAUGAUGUAUUAUUCACAUUAUGCUUUAAUAAUCUUUUUCUUAAUGAGCCAUGAUAUAUGUAUAUAAAUAUUCUCAUUUCCAUGCCUGUGUUUAUAACCCAUAUCUUUAAUACAUUCACAAGGGAUGAUCAACUUUGAUGCUAUGCUGUCAUGUUUAACUUUUUUCUUCUAAAUGUAAAAUUAAUUAUGUACCAAUAUGCUGUCUAUCAUUGAGGGGACUAUAUUCAGGUCUAUUCUUAUAAUAGCAAAGGUCUUGAUAAAAUAAUGGUUGCCAUAUAUAAUUUGUUAUUGCCAACUAGAAGAACUGUGAUAGAAAAGAUACAUUCAUAUAUUAUAUACAAUAUACUAUUUUGGCUACCACAUGGACUCUUCACAUAAUAUAAACACUAUCAAAAUUAAACUAAAAGCUGUAUUUAGAAUUUUGUAAAACGAUAGAACAGAAAUUUGGGAUAUUUUUCAGUAAAUAAAAUUUCUCACUGUACGAAUCUAAAAUUUUGAAUACAAAAGUAUCAAUAUAUAGGGUAAAUACAGUAAAACAUUUUGUUAAAAUUCCAUUAUACAUUCAAUAAUAUCCAGUUUUUUGCUUCUAAACCUGUGUGUUGUAAUUUAUCAGUCUUCCAGAAUAGUAUGUAAACACUGACCUGUUGUGGCAUAUUAGAUAGAAAACAGCUUUUUACAGUGAAUUUUCAAAGUUGUAACUUUAAAGGAUUUAGAUAUAUACCGAUAUUAAUAAAAGAACAAAAGUACAAAAUAGAUUGUUGUACAAAAACUAAUCGUGUUUAAACCAUACAUUGGAAGAAAAUCCUGUUCUUAAUAAAUUUCAUUAUGAUCGAAAAAGAACUUAAAAACUAGCAUUGGAAAAUGGAAGACCAAUUAUUUAUGAUACAUUUUAUUUCCUCCUGUGGUUUAAUAAAGUGCAGUUUGUGUGUGAGUGUGUGUGUGUACCUGGGGGUGGGCAGCACUCUUUUUCUAAAACUAAUAUUCCUUAUAUGUUCUCAUUAUGCCCUUUGCAGUAAUUAUGUAUUUGGUGUGAUGUGGCUUACUUUUUCACCAUCUAUGUAAUUUUAUGUAUUCUGUCUCCUGUGUGUGAAUUCAUGUGUUACAGCAAAAUACAAUAGAAAUGGGACUAUUUACAAUGUCAUAUGGAAAAUCUUUUAAUAAAUAUAUGUAAAUAAAAUUUUAAAAUUUGUCCCCACCUUUUCCCCAAAACAACAGCAAGGCAUAUUUUGUUCAAUAUUUUAUUUCUAAUGUUUCUAUAAUUGAAAAAUGUAUAGUUUGCCAUAAUUGUUAUUUUCAUAACCAUGAUACAAUUUUUUAAAGU